rnacentral:rRNA from 1 species
UACGUAGGGUGCAAGCGUUGUCCGGAAUUAUUGGGCGUAAAGAGCUCGUAGGCGGUUUGUCGCGUCUGCUGUGAAAACCCGAGGCUCAACCUCGGGCCUGCAGUGGGUACGGGCAGACUAGAGUGCGGUAGGGGAGAUUGGAAUUCCUGGUGUAGCGGUGGAAUGCGCAGAUAUCAGGAGGAACACCAAUGGCGAAGGCAGAUCUCUGGGCCGUAACUGACGCUGAGGAGCGAAAGCUAGGGUAGCAAACGGG